CAGCAGCCGCGGUAAUACGGAGGGUGCAAGCGUUAUCCGGAUUUAUUGGGUUUAAAGGGUCCGUAGGCGGAUCUGUAAGUCAGUGGUGAAAUCUCACAGCUUAACUGUGAAACUGCCAUUGAUACUGCAGGUCUUGAGUAAAUUUGAAGUGGCUGGAAUAAGUAGUGUAGCGGUGAAAUGCAUAGAUAUUACUUAGAACACCAAUUGCGAAGGCAGGUCACUAAGAUUUAACUGACGCUGAUGGACGAAAGCGUGGGGAGCAAACAGGAUUAGAUACCCGCGUAGUCCCUGUCUCUUAUAA
rnacentral:rRNA from 1 species